rnacentral:rRNA from 1 species
AUUGAACGCUGGCGGAAUGCUUUACACAUGCAAGUCGAGCGGCAGCGCGGGGCAACCUGGCGGCGAGCGGCGAACGGGUGAGUAAUACAUCGGAACGUACCCAGUUGUGGGGGAUAGCCCGGCGAAAGCCGGAUUAAUACCGCAUACGACCUGAGGGUGAAAGGGGGGGAUCGCAAGACCUCUCGCAGUUGGAGCGGCCGAUGGCGGAUUAGCUAGUUGGUAGGGUAAAGGCCUACCAAGGCGACGAUCCGUAGCUGGUCUGAGAGGACGACCAGCCACACUGGAACUGAGACACGGUCCAGACUCCUACGGGAGGCAGCAGUGGGGAAUUUUGGACAAUGGGGGCAACCCUGAUCCAGCCAUUCCGCGUGAGUGAAGAAGGCCUCGG